rnacentral:rRNA from 1 species
CUCGGAUCAGGUAGGGAUACCG